rnacentral:rRNA from 1 species
UAUAAGACGAGAAGACCCCAUGGAGCUUUAAACCUGACAGCACCCGCUCAUUCUAUACCCCAUUAUUUGCCCGACCCCUGUCUGCUCAGUUUUAGGUUGGGGUGACCACGGAGUAUAAAAUAACCUCCAUGAAGAAGGGGAUAUUUCCCUUAUUAGAGAACCACACUUCCAAGAACUAAUAAAUUAAUUUUCAAUGACCCGAUACCCGAUAAUCGAUCAACGAACCAAGUUACCCUGGGGAUAACAGCGCAAUCCACCCUGAAAGCCCUUAUUAACAGGUGGGUUUACGACCUCGAUGUUGGAUCAGGGUAUCCCAGUGGUGCAGCAGCUACUGAGGGUUCGUUUGUUCAACGAUUAAAACCCU